UGGCGAACGGGUGAGUAACGCGUGAGGAACCUGCCUCAAAGAGGGGGACAACAGUUGGAAACGACUGCUAAUACCGCAUAAGCCCACGGCUCGGCAUCGAGCAGAGGGAAAAGGAACAAUCCGCUUUGAGAUGGCCUCGCGUCCGAUUAGUUAGUUGGUGAGGUAACGGCCCACCAAGGCGACGAUCGGUAGCCGGACUGAGAGGUUGAACGGCCACAUUGGGACUGAGACACGGCCCAG
rnacentral:rRNA from 1 species